UACGGGGGGGGGGCAAGCGUUGUUCGGAAUUACUGGGCGUAAAGGGCUCGUGAGGCGGCCAACUAAGUCAUACGUGAAAUCCCUCGGCUUAACCGGGGAACUGCGUCUGAUACUGGAUGGCUUGAGUUUCGGGAGAGGGAUGCGGAAAUUCCAGGUGUAGCGGUGAAAUGCGUAGAUAUCUGGAGGAACACCGGGUGGCGAAGGCG
rnacentral:rRNA from 1 species